UGGGGAAUAUUGCACAAUGGGCGCAAGCCUGAUGCAGCCAUGCCGCGUGUGUGAAGAAGGCCUUCGGGUUGUAAAGCACUUUCAGCGAGGAGGAAGGUGGUGGACUUAAUACGUUCAUCAAUUGACGUUACUCGCAGAAGAAGCACCGGCUAACUCCGUGCCAGCAGCCGCGGUAAUACGGAGGGUGCAAGCGUUAAUCGGAAUUACUGGGCGUAAAGCGCACGCAGGCGGUUUGUUAAGUCAGAUGUGAAAUCCCCGGGCUCAACCUGGGAACUGCAUUUGAAACUGGCAAGCUAGAGUCUCGUAGAGGGAGGUAGAAUUCCAGGUGUAGCGGUGAAAUGCGUAGAGAUCUGGAGGAAUACCGGUGGCGAAGGCGGCCCCCCUGGACGAAGACUGACGCUCAGGUGCGAAAGCGUGGGGCAGCAAACAGGAUUAGAUACCCUGGUAGUCCAGCGCUGUAAACGAUGUCGACUUUGGAGGUUGUGCCCUUGAGGCGUGGCUUCCGGAGCUAACGCGUUAAAUCGACCGCCUGGGGAGUACGGCCGCAAGGUUAAAACUUAAAUGAAUUGACGGGGUCAUAGCUGUUUCCU
rnacentral:rRNA from 1 species